rnacentral:SRP_RNA from 1 species
GGGGUCAGUAGCGUGAGCUUUUCACCCAAGUGGGGGCAUCAAGGUGGCCGAAUGUGUGCUCAAAUUUGAGGAGUAGGGCAUGGUGGUGUCUUCUUGUUGGCUCACCCAUUCCAAGUGGGGAGUUGAGCCAAUGGACUUGAGUGAAGACUUGGUCCUCAUAGUUCUUAGAGUGGAGGGCAAUUCGUUAGGCUGGUUUCACAAAGCAUUGAAUACCUCUCACUCCUAAUAGUGAAAGGAUAGCAUGCCAGUGAUUUCCAGGCCCAACAUGCCUCGAGGGAUAAUCUCUAUUGAUUGAUCACUUUU